AUUGAACGCUGGCGGCAGGCCUAACACAUGCAAGUCGAACGCGUGGCGGACGGGUGAGUAAUGUCUGUGAAAAUGCCCGUGGGAGGGGGAGAACUCCUGGAAACGGGAGCUAAUACCCCGUACGAUAGCAGGUGCCCAGAUGGGAUUAGCUAGUAGGUGGGGUAACGGCUCUCCUAGGCGACGAUCCCUAGCUGAUCUGAGAGGAGGACCAGCCAAACUGGAACUGAGACACGGUCCAGACUCCUACGGGAGGCAGCAGGGGGGAAUAUUGCACAAUGGGCGCAAGCCUGAUGCAGCCAUGCCGCGGGUAUGAAGAAGGCCUUCGGGUUGUAAAGUACUUUCAGCGAGGAGGCGUUACGCGCAGAAGAAGCACCGGCUAACUCCGUGCCAGCAGCCGCGGUAAUUC
rnacentral:rRNA from 1 species